CGGACAAGAAGCUGGGAGGCGCGCAGAACCAUCGUCAGUCCCCGAGGCUCUCUGCAGUCCGCGUGAGUCCUGGCCAAGGUCUGGCCUCGGAAGCUACGAGCUACAAUCUUCCUUCAUCCUACCCACCCACGAAGAGCGCCACCCCAGCUGCAGACCAAGUGACCAGCCCAGUUAGAAGGGGCUCGGCCGGAUCAAACCUCGGUGCUGCCUCAAAGCAUCUGCUGAAGCUCUUCCUCGACCAACUGAACUUCCUCACUGAGUGGUUCUUACUAGAAAAUUAUAAGCCCAGUCUGACAGUCUCUGAAAGAAUGUCAGUGUUUUACUGUAAAGCCAAAGAUGGGGGAAGAAGCAGUUUUGGGGGUUUCCUGAUCAGCUUUUAUUCAAGCCCUUAAAUCUGUGAAUAUGCGAUGUUAAUGCCACCUUACAUUUGUAUUAGAUUAGCAGUAUGCAACUGGCUUUCCAAACCGUGGUCCUACUGAUAGUAAUGUAGUUGUAAAACGUACAUAGGAUAAUUUGCCUCCUACACAGUGUGUAAAUAGCAAACAACAUCUCUUUACUUGGAUUUUUUAAAAUUCCAAUAAAUUCAAUUUAUUUUAAUGUAAACAAAAGUGAUAACACGCAAACUUCCUGCCUUUGACACAAUUCUAUUUGUAAUUGCACUUUGUAAUAUGAAAACUUGAAAACAUUUGGAGUAAAUGAUGGCAUAACAAUAUGGUGGAAUAU
rnacentral:lncRNA from 1 species